rnacentral:rRNA from 1 species
AGGAUAAACGCUGGCGGCGUGCCUAACACAUGCAAGUCGAACGCCCUUCGCAAGAAGGGAGUGGCGGACGGGUGAGCAACACGUGGAUACCUACCAUGAGGUGAGGAAUACCGGCGAGAAAUCGCCGACAAUACCGCAUACGUUUGGCAACAAACAAAGCUCCGCAAGGGGCGCCACAUGACGGGUCUGCGCCCGAUUAGCUGGUUGGUGGGGUAAUGGCCUACCAAGGCGACGAUCGGUAGCUGGUCUGAGAGGAUGAUCAGCCACACUGGGAUUGAGAACGGCCCAGACUCCUACGGGGGGCAGCAGUGAGGAAUUUUCCGCAAUGGGCGCAAGCCUGACGGAGCAACGCCGCGUGCAGGAAGACGGUUUUCGGAUCGUAAACUGCUUUUCUCGGGGACGAGAACGGACGGUACCCGAGGAAUCAGCCCCGGCUAACUACGUGCCAGCAGCCGC